GGCACUAUAGCCAAGUGGUUACGGCGACAGAUUCGAAUGAAAUAUCUGUUCCUCUUUGAGGGCGCAGGUUCAAAUCCUGCUGGUGUCG